rnacentral:lncRNA from 10 species
CUAUCAGAUAGAUGUGUUCAUUUAUUCAUUCAUUAAAUUUGAACAUCAAUGCAGUGGUAACUAGUAGGAUAGCAGUAUGGGAAACAAAGAUAAAAGAUAUAAAUUUGUCAGGCAGAUGACAUAUAUAUACAUUGCAAUGUAAUAUGGCGAGUCCUAAGAUGAGAGGCAAGCUUGAGUGCCAGGAAGCAGGCCUAACCCAACCAGGGGAGCACUGGGUAUGGGCGAUGAGAUAAGACUUCCUGGGGAAGACAAGUCUUAGGAGAUGGUAGGUGUGGUGGGCAAUUCAUUUUUUUUUUUUUUUUUUUUUUUGGGGGACUGGGUCUCAUUCUGUUGCCCAGGCUACAGUGCAGUGGUGCAAUCAUGACUCACUGCAACCUUGACCCUCUGGGCUAAAGCAAUCCUCCUGCCUCAGCCUCCCCAGUAGCUGGGGCUACAGGCAUGUGCUGCCAUGCCCAUCUAAUUUUUAAAUUUUUGUAGACACAGGGUCUUGCUAUGUUGCCCAGGCUGGUCUUAAAUUCUUGGACUCAAGUGAUCUGUCUGCCUUGUCCUUCCAAAAUGCUGGGAUUGCAAGUGUGAGCCACCAUGCCUGGCCAUGAUGGGCAAUUCUAAUAAUAAUUCUAACAGUGAUUCUAGGUAAGCAGAUAAUACUGGCCAUGCCAGGGACUGUGUUCAAUGCGUCAGGUGGCUUCCCUUAGGCACUCCUUACUCACAACAGCCUUUGGAGGUGGUUGCUAUUACUUGGCAGUUUGAGCCUAGGUAGGGUGUUGAAGCAGAGAGAAAGGGCAAGGCAGGAACAGGCAGGGGGCAUUGAAGAGCUGCUCCCACCUCGUCUGGCUGCUGUGAUGAGCAUUCAGGCCAGGACCUCAGGCCAGGCCAUGUCCCAAAGGACUGAGUGUGGAGCCGACCCUGUGGGCAGGGGUGCUUCUGAUGGGGUAGAAGAGAUUUGUAGGCAGAAGAGUUUGCUGGACACCAACAUGGGAGUGAAUGAGCCUUGUGUUGAAACCACCACCUUCCUGUUGAAUUUGACCCCCAGUGUUGCAGGUGGAGCCUGGUGGAAGGGCUCCUGGGAGUGGAAAUGGCUCCCUCAUGAAUGGCUUGAUGCCGUCCUACAGAAAUGAAU